rnacentral:lncRNA from 1 species
UCUAAACAGGAAGAGCAAAAACUUACUCUACAGGAGAUUGACACCUUUUUUAAAUCAGACCUCAUCAGAGAAAGAUUAGUGUGUAAAAGAAGAACAGGUCAAUAAAUACAACCAUGGAACAAGUUUCUAAGGGAAGGCAGGAGCAGGAAUCUUCUCAUCCAGACUUGCUGUUGUGACAUGGAUCACAGUGAAGAUGUGUCAAUACUGCCAUCUCUUGCCUCUUCAAAAACCUGGGCAGGAAGCUAGUUUCAUGAAAAUUGGAGAAUGAACAUACUCAUAAAAGACCUAAGUUUUCCAAGACAGAGGGGCAGGAGACAGCAUGUGAAGCUACUGAGCCAAGCCAAUGAAGAAAG